GGGGUUGUGGCUUAGUGGUAGAGUGCUUGCCUAGCAUGCGUGAGGCACUGGGUUCAAUUCUCAGCACCA
rnacentral:tRNA from 1 species